UGCGCGGUAGGACAGUUCGGUCAGUCCGCUGGGCUCAUAACCCAGAAGUCGGUGGUUCGAAUCCACCUCGCGCAACCA
rnacentral:tRNA from 1 species